rnacentral:rRNA from 2 species
AGGAAAAGAAACCAACAGGGAUUGCCCUAGUAACGGCGAGUGAAGCGGCAAGAGCUCAAAUUUGAAAUCUGGCUCCUCCGGGGUCCGAGUUGUAAUUUGCAGAGGAUGCUUCGGGUGCGGUCCCCGUCUAAGUACCCUGGAAUGGGUCGUCAUAGAGGGUGAGAAUCCCGUCUGGGACGGGUGGCCGUGUCCGUGUGAAGCUCCUUCGACGAGUCGAGUUGUUUGGGAAUGCAGCUCUAAAUGGGUGGUAAAUUUCAUCUAAAGCUAAAUAUUGGCCGGAGACCGAUAGCGCACAAGUAGAGUGAUCGAAAGAUGAAAAGCACUUUGAAAAGAGAGUUAAACAGCACGUGAAAUUGUUGAAAGGGAAGCGCUUGCGACCAGACUCGCCCGCGGGGGUUCAGCCGGUACUUGUACCGGUGUACUCCCCCGUGGGCGGGCCAGCGUCGGUUUGGGCGGCCGGUCAAAGGCCUCCGGAAUGUAUCGCCCUUCGGGGCGUCUUAUAGCCGGGGGUGCAAUGCGGCCAGCCUGGACCGAGGAACGCGCUUCGGCUCGGACGCUGGCGUAAUGGUCGUAAGCGGC